rnacentral:rRNA from 1 species
GAUCAUGGCUCAGGACGAACGCUGGCGGCGCGCCUAACACGUGCAAGUCGAACGGUGAAGAGGAGCUUGCUCCUCGGAACAGUGGCGGACGGGUGAGUAACACGUGAGCAACCUGGCUCUAAGAGGGGGACAACAGUUGGAAACGACUGCUAAUACCGCAUAACGUAUCGGGAUGGCAUCUUCCUGAUACCAAAGAUUUUAUCGCUUAGAGAUGGGCUCGCGUCUGAUUAGAUAGUUGGG